UACGUAGGGUGCAAGCGUUAAUCGGAAUUACUGGGCGUAAAGCGUGCGCAGGCGGUUAUGUAAGACAGUUGUGAAAUCCCCGGGCUCAACCUGGGAACUGCAUCUGUGACUGCAUAGCUAGAGUACGGUAGAGGGGGAUGGAAUUCCGCGUGUAGCAGUGAAAUGCGUAGAUAUGCGGAGGAACACCGAUGGCGAAGGCAUCCCCUGGACCUGUACUGACGCUCAUGCACGAAAGCGUGGGGAGCAAACAGG
rnacentral:rRNA from 1 species